AUGCCUCUAAGUCGUGCUUCGACACGUGGGAGAUAUAGCCGCAUCGAGGGCGUUACACGCCCGGCCCUAGACACGUUCAUGGCAGCAUCCCACUAUGCUUAUAACACCCUGAAGAUGCCUGGGCCACUGGGAGUCAUCACUAUCCCAUCAGAUGAGAAGGAUGCAAUUAUCUGCGUGGACAAGAUGUACCAGGAUGCAGUCGCAGCAAAGGCUGCGGCAGCAACGGUUCCCGCCAAGGAAAGUAAAGGAAAGAAAAGGGAUUGUAGGACCUCUGGCAAGGAGUCCGGGAAGCGUGCCCCCUCCGAGUGCACGGCACCCAUUGACAAUGUGUCGAAGUGUUCCAAUAGCAAGAGAUCCAAGGUUGUUGCACCCCAAGUGAAGAAGGUCCCGGCAGGGCUGGCUGGCGUUGAUGGUACUUUCACCAUCGGUGCCACCCUUGAUGACAAAUAG
rnacentral:rRNA from 1 species